CCUACGGGUGGCAGCAGUGAGGAAUAUUGGUCAAUGGACGCAAGUCUGAACCAGCCAUGCCGCGUGCAGGAAGACGGCUCUAUGAGUUGUAAACUGCUUUUGUACGGGGGUAAACGCAGAUACGCGUACCUUUCUGAAAGUACCGUAUGAAUAAGGAUCGGCUAACUCCGUGCCAGCAGCCGCGGUAAUACGGAGGAUUCAAGCGUUAUCCGGAUUUAUUGGGUUUAAAGGGUGCGUAGGCGGUCAAUUAAGUUAGAGGUGAAAGCCCGUGGCUCAACUUCGGAAUUGCCGCUGAUACUGGUCGGCUAGAGAGUAGUUGAGGUAGGCGGAAUGGAUGGUGUAGCGGUGAAAUGCUUAGAGAUCAUACAGAACACCGAUUGCGAAGGCAGCUUACCAAGCUACAUCUGACGUUGAGGCACGAAAGCGUGGGGAGCAAACAGGAUUAGAUACCCGGGUAGUC
rnacentral:rRNA from 1 species